rnacentral:tRNA from 1 species
GCCGCGUUAGCUCAGUUGGUAGAGCUGCUGACUUUUAAUCAGUAGGUCCGGGGUUCGAGUCCCCGACGCGGUAC